rnacentral:misc_RNA from 1 species
CUGCUGUCACAGUAGCCCCACAAACUUUGGGAAACAAUAACAACGGAUUCCCCAGUCAUUGAACAUUGUGCUCCUCAGUCCUCCAGCUUUUCUACAGAUUCCUACCUAGAAUAUUUAUAUGCUUAUCGCAGGCUAGAAUUCUAAGAGCAAUAAAUAGGGACAUAAUCUAUACGACCGAGUUCUUUACAUAGGACAGACGAGAAAUAUAACCUUGCACAAUCUGAACAUUCCGAUGUACCAAUACCAUGUC